UCCCAACUGAUGCAAUUUAAUUAUGUUGCAAAAUUCACAAUAAAUUCAGACAAUAUUAGGAUUAAAAGCGCAUAAAAGUAGAUCGGAGUCGAAUAAAUCUCACCAAUGAAGGAAUAUUUCACAAACUUAGAUAGCGCAAGUGCACGUGUUUAGAGAUAACAGAUUUGAGUGGGAUUUGUGAGUGGAUUCAUUCGCGUAAGAAUUACGCAAUACGGGAUGGAGUGUCAACCGGCAAUAUUAUGUAUCUGGCUAAAACGUUAGGAAAUUAUCUGGAAAAAUAUAAAUAAGGAAUUUUCUUGUAACCUGAAAAAAUCAUUAGUGUAAGUGAUCAUUUGCAUCAGUGAAGUGUAAUAAACUGUUUUCUCGUGGCUGAAUGCUGAGGAUCUGAAUAUUUUUAGGGUGAAUGUAAACAUAUACGAAUUUUUAUUGUCGAAAUUAAUUUUUGAGCAAAAACCGAGAAUUUCUUGAAUAUCCGGCUUUUUCGUAAUUUCAACAUUAGAUUCGCUUCGAGUUUGAACAUAAUUUCUAUGUUUAGUCACUGUCAUUGGUUUACGUAAGUAGAAACAGGUCCUUUACGGGCCUACAUCCAAGAAGAAAUCUGCAUAAAUCUGAAUAUAACUCGUUUUCUCUCCAUCAUUUGAAAUUCAAAUUUUUGAAAUUUCGACCGGAAUUAUACAAACCAUAGAAACAAAAAUUGAUUCUUCUGUGGUUAACUCACAUAACCUAUGAAAAUCUUGGAACAUAGAUCCAAGUACAUCGAAGUUGUCAAAAUAUAUGGAAAAAAUUCAAUUUUUAAAAGUUGAUAUCUCCUAAACCACAAGCUUGCAAGUGUUGAGGCUUGUGGCAAAUGAUUUCUCAUGAACAACCGCAUCUACAAAAAAAUUACGAACCUAAGCGAUCACUGCCCAGCCAAUGUUAAUUCUACCAUUUGUUUCUUUCAUCAGAAUACAAAGCAAAUAGUCAUAGAUCCCAAGUUCUCUUCCUUCAAAAAUGUAUGAGUUAUAAAGCGAAUAAAUCAGAAUGAAAAGCUU